rnacentral:lncRNA from 1 species
GCCAUUUUUUUACAGAAAUUUUUAACAGUGUAGGUAUGGUGCUAGUAAUAACUGUUAGCUGUUUGUUUCUUUUUAGGCAAACUUGCUGAUUGUGACUCAUUUUGCCAGCACGGGUCACAAAUGUUUUUUUUGUUAUAUAAUUAUUAUAUCCUUUUACUGAUCGUGUUUGUUUGGUGAACACAGUGAAACUCAUUGUGGAGAAGAGCAACUAUCACACAUUUGACAAAUCCAAUAAUCUGUACGUUUGAGAUUUGAGGGGUUUUCAGCAGCGCUUCAACAAUGAAAGAUCAGCUCUGAAAAUACUCCUCAUCAGAUGUCCUGAUCACUUAGUGGAUGUCAGCAGAAACACAGAUUGCUGCUUUCCUCCUGCUGCUGGAGUCAGAUAUGUUGAGUAAGACACAAGAGCAUCAGUGAGAUCAGAUCCUGAUGAUGAUGAUGAGGAACACUCUUCAGAUCUUCUUCACUGCAGUCAGUAAAGCAGCACUUCAGGAUUCAGAAGAACACGCAUUCUCUUCAAUCUCAUUGUGUGUGUAAGAUUUCACUGGAAUAAUAAUCUCAAAAUUAUGUGUCCUGUGUUCUCUUGUGUUUCCAUAUGCAGGUGUGAAGUCAGUUUGUCAUCAUGGAGAACAGAGAGAGCAGAACAGACAGAUCUCACAGCUGUGUGUCUCUGAAUAGUGUCAGAUCCAAGGAUUGUCCUCUGGUUUUCAGUAAUAAACCAGUGACCUCUGACCCCAGGAGGAAGAGGAAGAUAUCUUCAUCUCCGGAUCACAGCUGUUUGUCUCUGAAUAGUGUCAGAUCCAAGGAUUGUCCUCUUGUAUUCAGUAAUAAACCAGUGACCUCUGACCCCCGGUGAGAUAUAUUCCAGUGUUAAGGUCUGCACUGAUAGACACUGACCAGCGUGAACAAUCACUGGAUCACACUUCAUCAUUUCUCAGACGCUCCACGAGUGUACAAGUGCUGCUUCAACAUGUUCAAUCAGAGAAAACACACACUGAGAACAGCUGCAGAUUCAGACAGAAGUCACACACUGAUCCACAAACUGAUCAAGAGUUUCUGCUGUUCAGUGAACCGGCCUUUAGACUCAACUGACUGACUUACAGCUCAUCAGUAGAAAAUUACGAAUUAUUUUAAAAGAUAUAUUUCUUAUCCUCCAAACAAUCUGCAAUAUAAAGACUAUGAAAACUAAUAUAGUGAAUGUAUCUGUGUAGGAUCUGCUAUACAUUAUGUGAAUUUCUUUUAAAGGUAUAGUUCACCCAAAAAUGAAAAUUAGCCCUUGAUUUAAGCAUCCUAGACGUUCUUCAUCAGAGGAAUCCAAUCCAACUUCCAAGCUUUAUAAUGGAAGUAAAUGGGUGAUAUUCAAUAGUCUAAAGGAAAUCGAGUAAACUAAUAAUAUAUAUCCAUCAUAAAUAUAAUACCAUUAUGAUAAUAACAUUAUAAUUAGAACUUUAUAAACUGUAAUCUCUGGCUUCUGGUAACUGUCAGGAGAGAGUGGCUGGGUUCGACAGGGCUUCAAACCAUAGCAAAAACACCCUCACAUGAAGCUGUAAUAAAAGCAUACAGGAGAAAGAGAUCUGCCUGAACAUCUCCAAACUCUGGUUCAUCAGACUCCUCCUGGAUAAAUCACAGAAAGAGAUUUAUUACCAACUAAUCUAUAUUAAGUAAAUAUUUUAUGACUUCCUUUCAAUUAAAUACUGCAGGUUCAGCGGAAAGAAAACUGUAUGCUAUUCAUUCGAAGAUUGAAGAAUUUGAAGCUUCUAUGAACUAGAAGAUAUUAUUCUGUUAAAUGAUAAGUUCACUUCCAGAACAAACAUUUCACCAUGACAGUCAUAUGAUCCUUCAGAAAUCAUUCUAAUAUAGUGGUUCAUUAUUAAUGCUGAAACAUGCUGCUCAAUAUUUUUUGGGACCUGUGAUACUUUUUUCAGGAUUUUUUGAAUAAUUUAACUGUAUUUAAGUUAUGUGCUGAGAAGAACAUGUAUCAAAAGCAUUAAGCUUUCAAAGCACCCCAGGACAAACCGCAGGAAACUCUUGUGCUUUCAUCUGAAGAGCUGAAUUCAAAGCACUCUGAUGUUUCAGACAACUUUCUCCUACAUCUUAGCUGUUUUCCAUGUGUUUGUUCAUAGAACUGACGAGUAUUUUAUCAACUCUAUCAGUUAUUGUUGCAGCACUUUUAUAAUAAACGAAACAGCAGACAAAACUAAUGGAGGAAUGAUUUCUGUGUGUUUAUCAGCAUCAUCAGGAAAAACUGAAGAGUAACGCAUCCUUGAAUUCUCCUGAUCCUAAUUCCAGUGAUGAAGCAGUGACCUCUGACCCCAGGUGAGGAUAAUCAUGUGGUGAUGAUUGGACUGUUUUAUGGGAGUCAGAAACACACUCAAUACACACAGAUCUCCACACUCACCGCUGUGAGUGCAGAGAGCAUUUGCAGCUUUUGACCGCUGAGUGGUGCUUUAAUCAAGUUAUCAAACAAACGCAUCAAAGCACAUUUUCGCAAAUAGCCGUCAACUUUCCCUCACCAAUGUGUAACAUUUGACAGCUGCAGUCGGGGAAAAUUAAAGAAAGGCGCUGUAGUUAAAAUAUUGAAUAUUCACAGAUGAAAGUUUAGUAAUUAUGAAGUUAUGUGCGUUUCUUAAAUCGGGGUAAAUUUCAAGCCUAUGAACCUGUGCAUAAUCUUUCUCUAAGCUACACAGUAUUAAACCAUAUUUUAGAUUUGAAACAUUUAAUAUGUAUGUAGUAUUAUAUAUAGAAUAUGAAUUAUGUGUUAUAUUAUCCUAAAGAAAUUGUCAUUUACUUUGCAUCAGACAAUUUGAGUGAGUAACCUAUUUUAGUGAGCUAAGCUAAAUGGAUUUAUAUGACAAUAUUCUCACAUAUUAGGCCUGUAUUUGUCACAAGUACAUUUUUAAUUUAUAUUUCAAAAUUAUUUUAAUAAAACGGCAUGCAUUUGUUUCACACACUACUCUGUUAUUCGUUACAUGUCCUGUAUUUUGACCGAUAACUUCUUGGGUAAAAGAUAUCUGUUUGUACACUGAUUAAGAAAUUCCUUUAUUUUAGUAAAAUGUGAUGCACUGUUUAAUUUCACUCCCAUUAUUUAAGCCUAAUUAAAACAAGAAAAAAAAAAUUAAACAUGCUCGAUUUAGCUAAAUCCUUGAAACUCUAAAAAAUGAACUGAUUAAUAAAACAUCCUCACGUUUAAACUUACGUUUUAGUCAACAAAAUGCACACAAUGUUAAAAAAAAGCUUCAUUAAUUGAAAACUUCAGUGAUUUUCUUCUUAACCUGCUUUCAUACAAUUUUAUUAUGCAGCCCAUUUAAAUGCAGGUGUGUAUCCUAUUCCUUAAAAUAUCAGAGUGCAAAAUUUGUGCGGCGCAUGAUGCUGAGUGUUACAUGCAGAACUAACUAACUAAAAUAUCCACAGCAUAAAGUACAGCCUCAUAAUUCAUCAGCAUUCAAUCACAAGCAAUCAUCUGGCAUAAAUUAGAAAUUCUAAAUAAAAUACAAGACUGACAUCUCUAUCGAUUUAGAUUUUAAUUCAUACAUCCUUUAUAUGUGGAUAUUUUUAAUCAG